CUCUACAAAACAUUAUUUUUGUAUUAAUUCUCAUUUCUAUUCUGUUUACCGUCUAUACAUAGCCCCGUUAAGCCUUCGAAGGCUGGCUGAUAAGUAGUAUUCCCUAUCUUACCCAUUUAUCCAGUUCUUAGCAGCGCUGCAUGAUAUAAACAGCCUGCAGGUUGACUUAAUGUUGAAUAAUAAGCUAUGUGCCGUAGUGGUCCGAUCUGAAAACUUUGAUCGCAGAUUGUAGCGCUGCCUUGGGCAAAAUUGCAAAAUAUCGUAAGGUACCUUGUCAAAAAAAAAGUUUUCCAUACAAGGACUUGAGUUCGGUUGAUCAGUUUGUACGGUAAUGAUCCGAUAUCGGCGGUUCCGAAGAAGAAAUUGCUGCUCUGGGAGAAAAUGACGAUGAGUGUCUAAAGUUCGAUCGAUAUCUCAAAAGCUGAGGGACUAGUUCAGGGUCUCCGACGUUUCCUUCUGGGUGUUACAAACUUCGUAUAUCCUAUUCAAGGCAUACAAAUUUUAAACAACAAUAAAAGAUUACAUAUGAUAUGCCUCUCUAUGGUUUGUAAUAUGCUUAUCAUAAUAUUUAUAAAUUCAUUAAAAUCAGUUUAGCGAUAAAAUAAAGCAUUAAUUUAAUUAAUAACACACACACAUUUUUCUCCACACACACAAAAA